UUUGACCCAUUUCCAAAAAGUUUCUGUACCAGAAGUUUGGGUUUAUUUCAAACAAAUUUUCCAAAAAAGUAACGUGAUGGUUCCCAACAACGCUCCUCACAAGUUACAUGAAAAAUCAGUUCACUGCUUUCAUUAAAUUUGGGUGUUUGUCAAUUUUAUAGCAUUUGGAGAAACAAAGACAUUUGAAAAAUGCUUUAAAAAAGUGAGAAA